rnacentral:misc_RNA from 1 species
ACAAACUUGGUCAUUUAGAGGAAGUAAAAGUCGUAACAAGGUUUCCGUAGGUGAACCUGCGGAAGGAUCAUUAGAAGAGCCAUUGGUUCCUUUGGGAGCCGAGACCAAACACCGCGAACCACGACGCAUUGUGGUCGGAGCUGGUCGUAGUCGUAGUUUCAGUGCUAUGACAACGCACGCCGGCCACACCCACACACAUUCUGUCCUUGCCACAACCACGCACACACAUACUACAACACUACACAACUUUCAACAAUGGAUCUCUAGGCUCCUACAUCGAUGAAGAACGCAGC